UGCAGUCGAGCGGCAGCGCGGGGGCGACCCUGGCGGCGAGCGGCGGACGGGUGAGUAAGGCAUCGGAAUCUGCCCUGAUGUGGGGGAUAACGUAGGGAAACUUACGCUAAUACCGCAUACGACCGAGAGGUGAAAGCGGGGGACCGAAAGGCCUCGCGCAGCAGGAUGAGCCGAUGUCCGAUUAGCUGGUUGGUGGGGUAACGGCCUACCAAGGCGACGAUCGGUAGCUGGUCUGAGAGGAUGAUCAGCCACACUGGGACUGAGACACGGCCCAGACUCCUACGGGAGGCAGCAGUGGAGAAUAUUGGACAAUGGGGGCAACCCUGAUCCAGCAAUGCCGCGUGUGUGAAGAAGGCCUUCGGGUUGUAAAGCACUUUUAUCGGGAGCGAAACGCGCCAGACUAAUAUUCUGGUGAACUGACGGUACCCGAGGAAUAAGCACCGGCUAACUCCGUGCCAGCAGCCGCGGUAAUACGUAGGGGGCAAGCGUUGUCCGGAAUCACUGGGCGUAAAGCGUGCGUAGGCGGUUUGUUAAGUCUGAAGUGAAAGGCCAUGGCUCAACCAUGGGAAUGCUUUGGAAACUGGCAGACUUGAGUACUGGAGAGGCAAGGGGAAUUCCACGU
rnacentral:rRNA from 1 species